CUCGGGUUACCGAAUUCAGACAAACUCCGAAUGCCAAUUAAUUUAACUUGGGAGUCAGAACAUGGGUGAUAAGGUCCGUGUUCGAAAGGGAAACAGCCCAGACCACCAGCUAAGGUCCCAAAAUAUAUGUUAAGUGGAAAAGGAUGUGGCGUUGCCCAGACAACUAGGAUGUUGGCUUAGAAGCAGCCAUCAUUUAAAGAGUGCGUAAUAGCUCACUAGUCGAGUGACACUGCGCCGAAAAUGUACCGGGGCUAAACAUAUUACCGAAGCUGUGGAUUGUCCUUUGGACAAUGGUAGGAGAGCGUUCUAAGGGCGUUGAAGCAUGAUCGUAAGGACAUGUGGAGCGCUUAGAAGUGAGAAUGCCGGUGUGAGUAGCGAAAGACGGGUGAGAAUCCCGUCCACCGAUUGACUAAGGUUUCCAGAGGAAGGCUCGUCCGCUCUGGGUUAGUCGGGUCCUAAGCUGAGGCCGACAGGCGUAGGCGAUGGAUAACAGGUUGAUAUUCCUGUACCACCUAUAAUCGUUUUAAUCGAUGGGGGGACGCAGUAGGAUAGGCGAAGCGUGCGAUUGGAUUGCACGUCUAAGCAGUAAGGCUGAGUAUUAGGCAAAUCCGGUACUCGUUAAGGCUGAGC
rnacentral:rRNA from 1 species